rfam:Schistosoma curassoni strain Dakar, Senegal genome assembly, scaffold: SCTD_scaffold0000573
CUGACGAAUCCCAAAUAGGACGAAACGCGCGUC